rnacentral:lncRNA from 1 species
AAUGAUAUACAUAGUCCCACGAAAGGAGGAAUCAUCAUCCAUGUUUGACAGUUGAAGAGAAUGAGGCUCAGAGAGAUUAAGUGAACCGCCCGAGUUCACACUGCUAAUAAGUGGUCUCCUUCCAUAGCCUUUGCUGUUAACUGUUACAUUUAAGAGCUGCUUCAAUCUGCUAAAUUUCAGUUUCUUCUGAGUGAACAGUGGGGUUUUUCUGGCCCUGUGCCAUCACCGUUAAUCCUUCAGGGCAGCUGAGAAGUAUCUUAAUCAAGGCCUCUGACCUUGUCAUUCAUUCUUUUUCUUAGUGUUCAGUUAACUGCAGGCACCCUAAGGAAUGGGAAUGGAACGGCUUCAGACUUCACAGGAGGAGGACUGGCAGAGAAACUCCUUCCAAGACCUCACAGCAAGCCCAGGGUGAAGAAACAAAGACCCAGAGACUUGUCUGCUUUUCCACAAACAGUGAGGGGCUGAAUGAGGACUUGAAUCCACGUUUAAGUUCCUGUUCAGGUAAGACCAGAAACACUUUGAAUCCAAGUCCCAGUGCCUGUUCAGGUAAGACCAGAAACUGUCUCUUCACUCUCUGUACUCAGCCUUACUGUCUCCGCGUAGCUGUUAAUGGAUUCAUUAUUCCCGGGCAGGUGGAAUUAGAACCUCAUAAGCACCUUUGCCUCCUUGUUCUCUCUCUUCCAAUCCUACAGCUGCAAUCUUUCAUCCAAUGGAUCCUACUUCCACUGAGUUUCUUGGUCCCAUCUUUCCUUCCCCCCUUUUCUAGCCAUCUAUCACUGCUUUGGUUCCCAUGGUUGUUAUAAACUCAGCUGCCAAAACAUCAAAGCCAAAUUUCACUGUCAAAUCUAAGCAACUAUAAUGGACUUUACUAUUUGGGUACUUGUGCUCAUCUUUUUUUUUUGUUUGUUUUUUUUUGAUUUGGGAAAGAAAGAUUUAUGUAACCCCAUUCCUGUUUUCAUCUUCUUAACCUUGCUCAUACCUCCAUAAGUAGUCAUUGUAUUAAAGUCUCUUUAUUUGAGUCAUCUGGGAUGAAUUCCGUUUUCUGCUUGUGUGCUUACUAAUAAAGAAGUAUUCAUGCAUAUUUGCCAAACUGAUUUAGAACUGAGAAGGCAGUUCUAUUUUUUGUUGUUUUGUUGUAUUUGUUCAAUUUAGCAUGAACAUUUUACUAUAACAACAACGAAGCAGGUUGAAAUGCCUUUCAGUUUUUACUCUGAAUUCCUGCUUCAUGUUUUGUUUGGAGUAUUCCUAUUACAUUUUCAAGAAAGUAAAACUUUCUUUUAAAUGCAUGAUUAUUUACAACUUUGUUAUAUUUUUGUGAUUUUUAUAAAAAGGUCUCUAGCUGUUCUUCUUUUUCUAAAGAGUUAUGUCUCAGAUGGAAUAAUGAAAGCAAAGAGGAAAUGUCUGUUAUAAAGCUGUUUCUCGGGAACCAUGUAGAGGUUAAAUUACGUGGCAAAGAGAUCCAGAGCACUUGUGGGAUCACUUUAUUAGCCUAAAAUUUUGUUUUAUUUAACUCUUUCCUGAAACCAGAAUGCUAUUAACGUGGUGCUUGGUAAACUUUUUGUACUUCAGGUAUUUUCACUGGAAUUAUUAGAAUUAGGUUUAACCUGUUGAUUAUUAAAUGCUUCAGUUGUUCUUUUCUAUGAUUUAAGCUGGGCUAAUUCAAAUGCAUCUAGUUGCUCACAUUUUCAUCUCAUAGGCACAUCUAUAACUGUUAUACUGAGUAACUUGAACAUGGCUGUCACUUUAACCAUGUCCAGAAAAUUCACAUGUGAAAAUUGAAGUUUGCACAUCACUCAGUGAAUGAUUAUUUGUGUUGCCUUGCAAUAUUGCAGAUAACCUUGGACAAACCCCUUGACUUUUCUGAAUUUCAGUGUCCUUUGAGGGGAGGGGGGUGGAGGAUGGGGUUGAUAAUACCUUCCUUUAUACAAAACACAUUACAGAGAAUGAUGCAAAUAAGGGGAUAGUCAUUUAGUUCUAUAUUUAGAAAGAUAUAUUUGAUAAUGUUAUCUAAUAUCUUAUGGUUCCUUGAGUAGCAAAACACUCUGGAAAAUACGUCAGUUAGUCUCAGCUGGAAGCUCUACCCUUAGAAGACAAAUUAUAUGGCUAAUAUUGAAUAAAUUUUUGUCUGAAUGCUUGUAAAAUGGCAUAUAUAUAUAUAUAUAUAAAUUCAUUCUAUGUCAUUCUUGGUAUCACUUUUCCUUUCCUUUUCUUUUUUUCCAUUUUUUGCAAAAUGAAUGGUACCCUAAAUUGAGUAUAUUUCUUUCAUGUCUAUGGUCCUCAAGAGGAAAACUUGGGAAAUAUAUUCUUGUUUUGGGGGACUUUACUGUAGACAUUUCAUAACCAUUAUAGGAAAUUUCUUGUCGCUGUUAAAUUUUUUUUUUUAAUUCAAAGCCCUUCCUUUGAAUAUUUCUCCUUUUCCUGAUGAAUGUUUCCUCCUGGAUUUUCUCAGCUAGUACUUUUGAUAUUUAUAGUCUAAAUGUUUCAGUCAAUGUAUAACAAUGUUCACUGGUAAAGCUAAGAGGGGACAUGAGGAAUCUGUGUUUUAAGUUGAAUAAACCCAUUUAGCUGUAUUGAAAUUAUACUCUUUAGCCUGGAGCCAAAAUGGGAACUAUAAGAAAGAGAUGAGGUUAAAAAUAAUUCAACUUGAUAAAUGACUCUUGGAUUCCUAUAUUAUCAAGUUGUGGAUUAUCUGCAGCAAAUUUUUGGUUCUGAACUCCUUUCAUUUAUCUAUGGUUCAUAUUUUGAGAUCAAAAUUUGUGUUCUUUAAAACAGAUAGUAUAUUACAAGAAAUAAUCAUAGGCUACUUUACUAGUGCAGAAAGGCUAACCACUAUAACAGAAGCAAGAAGGUGUUUCAUACGUAACACAGUGCGCAUUUAUUUCUCACUGAUGCAGUGAUAGUUCAGUGUGGUUGGUGGGGGUGGGGCUCUUGUUCCACUUAUUCAUAGAUCCAGUGGUUCCAUCCUGUGUGUCUACCGACUCUAGGUGUUUAGCUGGGUGACAGGGGAAUGCAUGAAGAGCAUGUCUUGAAGAUAUUAAUGAGUCAGGCCAGUAAAUGACUCACAUCUAUUCAACUUAUAUUCUAGUCUCAAAGACAUAUGUAACUGCAAAGGAGGCUGAAAAUUUAAUUUAGUAGUUUUCCCAGGAAAAAGAAGAAUGUGUAUAGCAUUUAUUAAAUAUUUACAAGUGUCAGGCACUGCUCUGAAUCCAUUUUAUGGAUCAAUUCAUUUAAUCCUCAGAAUAACCUGAAAGAUAUUUUAACCAUAUGCCAGAUGAGGAAAAUGAGUCACAGAACUAGUAGAUGGGUGAAUCAGGAUGUGAAAUCAAGUAACCUGGCUUGAGUACACUUCUUACCUAGUAUACUUUCUGGUAUAUUUAUAUACAGG